UACGAAGGGUGCAAGCGUUAAUCGGAGUUACUGGGCGUAAAGGGUGCGUAGGCGGCGCGACAAGUUGGGUGUGAAAUCCCUCGGCUCAACCGAGGAACUGCGCCCAAAACUGUCGUGCUCGAGGGAGACAGAGGUGAGCGGAACUUAGGGUGGAGCGGUGAAAUGCGUUGAUAUCCUAAGGAACACCGGUGGCGAAAGCGGCUCACUGGGUCUCUUCUGACGCUGAGGCACGAAAGCUAGGGUAGCGAACGGG
rnacentral:rRNA from 1 species